rnacentral:rRNA from 1 species
AUACGGAGGAUCCGAGCGUUAUCCGGAUUUAUUGGGUUUAAAGGGAGCGUAGGUGGAUUGUUAAGUCAGUUGUGAAAGUUUGCGGCUCAACCGUAAAAUUGCAGUUGAAACUGGCAGUCUUGAGUACAGUAGAGGUGGGCGGAAUUCGUGGUGUAGCGGUGAAAUGCUUAGAUAUCACGAAGAACUCCGAUUGCGAAGGCAGCUCACUGGACUGCAACUGACACUGAGGCUCGAAAGUGUGGGUAUCAAACAGGAUUAGAUACCCUGGUAGUCCACACAGUAAACGAUGAAUACUCGCUGUUUGCGAUAUACAGCAAGCGGCCAAGCGAAAGCAUUAAGUAUUCCACCUGGGGAGUACGCCGGCAACGGUGAAACUCAAAUGAAUUGGCGGG